rnacentral:rRNA from 1 species
ACACGUAGGGGCCUGACGUUGUUCGGAAUCAUUGGGCGUAAAGGGCGCGCAGGCGGCCGUCCAAGUCCGGUGUUAAAUGGUCGGGCUCAACCCGAUCAUGCGCUGGAAACUGGGCGGCUUGAGUCCCGUAGGGGAUGCCGGAAUUCCAGGUGUAGGGGUGAGAUCUGUAGAUAUCUGGAAGAACACCGAUGGCGAAGGCAGGCAUCUGGCCGGAGACUGACGCUGAGGCGCGAAGGCGCGGGGAGCGAACAGGUUUAGAUACCCUGGUAGUCCGCGCAGUAAACGAUGCGCACCAGGUGUCGGGCGGCAGCGCCCGGUACCGGAGCUAACGCGAUGAGUGCGCCGCCUGGGGAGUAUGCCCGCAAGGGUGAAACUCAAAUGAAUUGACGGGG